UCCUUCAUCUCCAAACGCCAUUUCCUAACCAGACUGCCAUAAAAUUAGCAGCAAUAUCAGCGGUUCUUGUAACCCACAGAGGAUUCAACCCUGUUACUCUUGCUAAUAGCUCUGCUAAUCCGGCAAGAAGGGUCUCUAAUUCAGGGAAAGGAGAGUUGGGUUCUUCUUCUUUAUCAAGGGGUUUUGAUGAGAAGGAGAAUGAAUCCAAAGCGGCGAUGCGAAAGUGAAAUCACCGGCAAAGGGGUCCAAGAAUUUCAUGUCUCCAACGAUUUCAGCUUCUUCCAAGAUUGCUCAAUCCCCGAAAAAGAAAAUAUUACUAGAAAGAAAUGAUCCUGUAAGGACUUCAAUCACUUUAUCCGACGGGAAACAAUGGAAACAUCAAAAUAUUUCACCUCUAAGGAGAAUGGCCAGAUUGCAACUUCAUCAGUCCACAGUAGGAGCCAUUCUUUCCAAGGGCAAGCAGCUGAGAAUGUGAUCCUUGUUCCAC